rnacentral:rRNA from 1 species
GACGAACGCUGGCGGCGUGCUUAACACAUGCAAGUCGAACGGAAAGGCCCUGCUUUUGUGGGGUGCUCGAGUGGCGAACGGGUGAGUAACACGUGAGUAACCUGCCCUUGACUUUGGGAUAACUUCAGGAAACUGGGGCUAAUACCGGAUAGGAGCUCCUGCUGCAUGGUGGGGGUUGGAAAGUUUCGGCGGUUGGGGAUGGACUCGCGGCUGAUCAGCUUGUUGGUGGGGUAGUGGCUUACCAAGGCGUUGACGGGUAGCCGGCCUGAGAGGGUGAUCGGCCACACUGGGACUGAGACACGGUGCGGACUCCUACGGGAGGCAGCAGUGGGGAAGAUUGGACGAGGGGGGGAAGCCGGAUCCAGCCAUACCGCGUGGGUGAAGAAGGCCUUCGGGUUGUAAAGGCCUGUUGUGGGGAAAGAAAAGCAGCAGGUUAAUACCCCGCUGUGCUGACGGUACCCAAAGAAUAAGCACCGGCUAACUUCGUG